CCUACGUGCGACAGCAGUGGGGAAUAUUGCGCAAUGGGCGAAAGCCUGACGCAGCGACGCCGCGUGAGGGAUGAAGGUCUUCGGAUCGUAAACCUCUGUCAGCAGGGAAGAACGGUCACUGUGCUAAUCAGCAGUGAAUUGACGGUACCUGCAAAGGAAGCACCGGCUAACUCCGUGCCAGCAGCCGCGGUAAUACGGAGGGUGCGAGCGUUAAUCGGAAUUACUGGGCGUAAAGCGCUCGUAGGCGGUAUGUCAAGUCAAGGGUGAAAUCCCCGCGCUCAACGUGGGAACUGCCUUUGAAACUGGCAAACUGGAGUGUGUGAGAGGAUAGUGGAAUUCCAGGUGGAGGAGUGAAAUCCGUAGAUAUCUGGAGGAACAUCAGUGGCGAAGGCGACUAUCUGGCACAUAACUGACGCUGAGGAGCGAAAGCGUGGGUAGCAAACAGGAUUAGAUACCCUGGUAGUC
rnacentral:rRNA from 1 species